GAACCGGCAGCACCGGGGGCAACCCCUGGUGGCGAGUGGCGAACGGGUGAGUAACGAAUCGGAACGUGCCCGGUAGUGGGGGAUAACCAGUCGAAAGACUGGCUAAUACCGCAUACGACCUACGGGUGAAAGCGGGGGACCGCAAGGCCUCGCGCUAGCGGAGCGGCCGAUUUCCGAUUAGCUAGUUGGUGAGGUAAUGGCUCACCAAGGCAACGAUCAGUAUCCGGUCUGAGAGGACGGUCGGACACACUGGAACUGAGACACGGUCCAGACUCCUACGGGAGGCAGCAGUGGGGAAUUUUUGGCAAUGGGGGAAACCCUGACCAAGCAACGCCGCGUGGGUGAUGAAGUCUCUUGGGACGUAAAACCCUUUCGACGGGGAAGAAACCGCAAGGUUGACGGUACCCGUAGAAGAAGCCCCGGCUAACUCCGUG
rnacentral:rRNA from 1 species